rnacentral:rRNA from 1 species
UACGUAGGGUCCGAGCGUUGUCCGGAAUUAUUGGGCGUAAAGGGCUCGUAGGCGGUUCGUCACGUCGGGAGUGAAAACUCGGGGCUUAACCCCGAGCCUGCUUCCGAUACGGGCAGACUAGAGGUAGGCAGGGGAGAGCGGAACUCCUGGUGUGGCGGUGGAAUGCGCAGAUAUCAGGAAGAACACCGGUGGCGAAGGCGGCUCUCUGGGCCUUACCUGACGCUGAGGAGCGAAAGCGUGGGUAGCGAACAGG